ensembl:miRNA
UGGCUAAGGUGUUGGCUUGGGCUCCCCACUGCAGUUACCCUCCCCUCGGCGUUACUGAGCACUGGGGGCUUUCGGGCUCUGUGUCUGCACAGAUACUUC